UAGAUGAGGAUGAAGCAAAAUACGUAAUCCAACACUUGAUCUGAAUUUAUCAUAAAUGAUGGUAAAAUUUCAUAUUUGCUGCUGAAUCUGC